UACAGAGGGGGCAAGCGUUGUUCGGAAUUACUGGGCGUAAAGGGCGCGUAGGCGGCCUUCUAAGUCGAACGUGAAAUCCCCGGGCUCAACCCGGGAACUGCGUCCGAUACUGGAAGGCUUGAAUCCGGGAGAGGGAUGUGGAAUUCCAGGUGUAGCGGUGAAAUGCGUAGAGAUCGGAAGGAACAUCAGUGGCGAAGGCGACUGUCUGGACAGAUACUGACGCUGAGGCGCGAAAGCGUGGGGAGCAAACAGG
rnacentral:rRNA from 1 species